GCAUAAGGGCAUAAGCUUACUUGACUAGUACCCCCUGUCCCGGUACUUUGCCGUGAAAGCGUGGCCUAACGAUCCUUCAACCGCUCCGGUAAUCCGAGCGUGGAGGUGACAGAAAAGUUACCACAGGGAUAACUGGCUUGUGGCCGCCAAGCGCCCAUAGCGACGUGGCUUUUUGAUCCUUCGAUGUCGGCUCUUCCUACCGUCCGCAUGCAUCGGUGCGGAAGCGUCGGAUUGUUCACCCGUCUAAGGGAUCGUGAGCUGGGUUUAGACCGUCGUGAGACAGGUUAGUUUUAUCCUACCGACCAUCUCCAUGCGUCCAGUACGUCGGGUCAGUACGAGAGGAACACCCGUCGCGAGCCUCCGAUCUCCCGGUUGUUUGACUUGACAGUGCCGGUCUGUCGCGCUCGGGGGACUAGCACUGAACGCCUCUAAGUGUCCAUCCCACCUACUCGCAUGGGUUGAGGGGCUUCCCUCGAUUCGCCCGGGUUGACGACCCUUUUCUCCGACCUACUGUACGGCGUGGAGCUUCUUGCGACCGCCUGAGGUUUGGUUCGGGUUGGCAUUCCCCCCGAG
rnacentral:rRNA from 1 species